CACACACACACACACACACACGCACACACACACACACCCAUCACACUCCCUCAGAGGGACACGAUGACUUUUCCCCAGAGGCUAACUCAGUGGCACCCCCUCUUUCUCCAGGUCACCCCUCAGCCACCCCCCUGACUUCAUGUCUUGUGUUCCUGAGAAUCGUCUUCCUUUUGGCCGUCACUCAACCGCCACCUCAUAGGAGCCUCUUCCUCUUCCCUGUGACCCUGGGGUCCUGGGCCCAGAAGCUCCCACAUUCCCUGCGUGGGGGGAGAAGGAGGUGUGGAACUCGGAUGGAAGGAACAGCCCUUGAGAGCAGUGCUGAGGAAAGAACCUUCCACGCCUUCCAUUGCGGCCUUUGAUGCUGUUCUUUCCUCCAGAAACAGGGAGGAAACUCGAAGUUGCGCCCGCAUCACCCGCCCAGUGGGAUGAAGAGGCAUGUUCCUUCCGCCAACUGCAGAACAAGUGGUAAAGCUGACACGGUGACAUCAGUCUUCAGUCCUGAGAGUGAAGCUGUAUGGAUACUGGGGGCCUCAGUUCUCAUAAGCCAGUCAGCCAGGUAUAAAUUAAAUUUCAGCAUUUCAUGUUCCUGAUGGUUGCCCAUCCUGGGUUGUUCACAAUAUCCUGCACGUGCUCUGAGGACC